CUUCAUCGCAAACGGAGGCAAUUUCAUUCUCAAAUUUUGUAAUAAUCAAUUUUCGAGAGGGUUUACGUUUUCAUCUUAAAUAGAGUUUUUCAAAAUUUCAUUAAGACAUUUCUAUAAAGUAUUCGAUUGUUCUGUCAUUUCAUUGGGCUGCUGGAGUGGUCGUACAGAAGUAGCCAAAUAUUAUCGAGAUGGAGCUAAUGUGAACGUUGAAGAUUGAGACAAAAAUAAAACACUUCAAUUGGCUACUAAGAAGGGUCACUCAGAUGUAGUCAAAUUACUAACCGAAAAAGGUGCCAAUGCUCAACAUACAGACGGACAGCACUCUCAUCCUCAAUAAUGAUCCGAAUGAAAUCACAAUAGUUGAUUUUCAAUGGCAUUGAACAAAAAUAAAUAUAAAUGUCCACAUAGCAUAGGCCUGUCAAAUCGCCCGGAUAAAUCCUGAUUUCGCCCGGAUUUUACAUACAAUAACAAAAAUAAAAUAUUCAAUUCACCGUUGAAAUAGCACUGACUAAACGUUCAAGUCAUUCACCUUGAGUGUAGACAAUAUUUUUGUGUACUAACUGUUAAAAAACUCAAUACCAGAUUUGGUAAAACUUUUGGAAAUCAAUGUAGUUGGCGAAAGUCAUCAAAAUUAACCAUUCUGAAUAAAAGUUUGGUCUUUGUUUGGCAAUCGAA